UCCUUGAUACUCUAAGGUACUAACUUACCCGUAAAAGUUAGAGGUUCUUAAGAGUGCCCUUGAUACUCUAAGGUGUGAGUCUACCCGUAAAAGACUGGUUCCUAAGCGAAGUAGCCUUAAAGCUUAGAAAGGUUUUGUCAUUACCUUUAGGCGAGUGAAUUCCGGCAGUUGGUCGGGACUGGACUAGCCCUUGUUUGGGUGAACCAGUAUAAAUCUCUUGUGUUGUUCUCUGUUAAUUAUAGUUCUAUCUUUUGUUUAAAAACAACACUUAAUUAAAAAGAUCCCUCUUCCAGUUAUCUGGUCAAUCACAGAGGUUGACUACUUUACGCAGAUCCCUCAUCCAGUUAUCUGGUCAACUAUCUGAGGUUAUAUUCAUUGCUUUAAAUCUUUAUAUUUGUUCAAGUAUUACUUAUCAUAUUUAUCCAGUUAUCUGGUCACUUACUUGUUUAUCAACUUAUCCAGUUAUCUGGUCACUUACUUGUUUAUCAAUAUAUCCAGUUAUCUGGUUAUUUACUUGCGUAUCAAUAUAUCCAGUUAUCUGGUCAUUUACUCUAC
rnacentral:lncRNA from 1 species